UUUUAAAUUACGGUUUAAGCGAACCGUGGCGCCGUCUAUAGUGAGCUCUUUACAGAAACCCGUAACUAUUCAAAGUUUCAUAUUACAAUGAAAAUCUUUGACAGGAGACGACACCGUGCUAUUUUUAAUAUCUAAGAUUUUAUUUUUGUAUUUUAUUUUUUGUGUUACCCACAUUAGGAAUUCUAAACAUUUUUGAAUAUCAUAUCAAAAAUUGACCGCUCCA
rnacentral:misc_RNA from 1 species